CAGCACCUCAAGUGGUCAGGAUGAUUAUUGGGCCUAAAGCAUCCGUAGCCGGCGCUGUAAGUUUUCGGUUAAAUCUGUACGCUCAACGUACAGGCUGCCGGGAAUACUGCAGCGCUAGGGAGUGGGAGAGGUAGACGGUAUUCGGUAGGAAGGGGUAAAAUCCUUUGAUCUAUUGAUGACCACCUGUGGCGAAGGCGGUCUACCAGAACACGUCCGACGGUGAGGGAUGAAAGCUGGGGGAGCAAACCGGAUUAGAUACCCGAGUAGUCC
rnacentral:rRNA from 1 species